rnacentral:rRNA from 1 species
UCGAGUUGUUUGGGAAUGCAGCUCUAAGUGGGUGGUAAAUUCCAUCUAAAGCUAAAUAUUGGCGAGAGACCGAUAGCGAACAAGUACAGUGAUGGAAAGAUGAAAAGAACUUUGAAAAGAGAGUGAAAAAGUACGUGAAAUUGUUGAAAGGGAAGGGUUUGAGAUCAGACUCCAUAUUUUGUGAGCCUUGCCUUCGUGGCGGGGUGACCCGCA